rnacentral:rRNA from 1 species
GACGAACCGUGCGAACGUUGUUCGGAAUCACUGGGCUUAAAGGGCGCGUAGGCGGGCAGUCGAGUCCGGGGUGAAAUCUUUCGGCUUAACCGGAAAAGGGCCUCGGAGACCGGCUGCCUGGAGGGAGGUAGGGGCAUGCGGAACUUCCGGUGGAGCGGUGAAAUGCGUUGAUAUCGGAAGGAACGCCGGUGGCGAAAGCGGCGUGCUGGACCUCUGCUGACGCUGAGGCGCGAAAGCCAGGGGAGCGAACGGG